rnacentral:rRNA from 2 species
GUGUAAGCGCAGCGAUGCGUUGAGCUAACCGGUACUAAUGAACCGUGAGGCUUAACCUUACAACGCCGAAGGUGUUU